rnacentral:rRNA from 1 species
UACGUAGGGGGCAAGCGUUGUCCGGAAUUAUUGGGCGUAAAGAGCGUGUAGGCGGUCCGGGUAAGUCGGCUGUGAAAGUCCAGGGCUCAACCCUGGGAUGCCGGUCGAUACUGCCGGACUAGAGUUCGGAAGAGGCGAGUGGAAUUCCCGGUGUAGCGGUGAAAUGCGCAGAUAUCGGGAGGAACACCUAUGGCGAAGGCAGCUCGC